ACUACCACCACUACCGCUACCGACGACUACGACGCCGCAACUCGCACGUCCCAUCGAACAGAACACGCUUCUCGCUACUCGCUGUUAUUAUUCGCGAUGAUUGUUUCCGACUGAUCGACACCUUAUUGUGCAAACGAGCCCGGCAACCUGAUCUUACUCCAUUAACGACACCUCGAUCGAGAAAAGCCUUCUGUUUCGGGCAGGCAUUUCCACCAACUUCCGAAUAAUUCCGUAAUUAAAGUUUUCCCGAUUCUCUCUUACCGGAUUUUCACAAAAUCUUCCCCUCUUCAUCGCCAGCUUCGCCUUCGUUCCAUCGUUCUCUCUGCAAUUCGAUUUCACGGAAAUUUUGCUGCCUUUGUCACUUCGUUGCUUUGUGGGUGAUAAAUAGGCUCGUAUUCGAUAUUAUGCGAGGCCGUACGGAACUGGAUGGGAGGCUAGUUGAAGAAAACUAGAUUUGAUUGGUUUGCGACGUAAUGGGCCCAUCUUCGCUUGAUAUGAUAAUAAAUAUAAGGUAUUUGUAUUUUUGUUAUUGAUGAGAUGGUCAUAAAUCUGUAAAGACGCGGAAAUUUUUCAUCAGUCUCGAAAUUUCUAAUAAAGUUUCUAAUACAAUUUCUGAUUAUAUAUACAUCGAGGAGGACCAAGAAAACGUAUCUUGUCAUUGCACCUUCACGCUACCAAUAGCUUUACCUAAAUUACCUUUGUACACGCGUCUUCGUAUUAGCUGACAUCGACCACUGUGGUCACUUAUACGGGGAUCCGAAGUUUUAAGUGGAUUCCGAACCACAGAUGCCAAGAGCACAACGGAGUUCUUAGUGAGCUGCUCUCCUCUAACGAGGAGAACUGUGUGCGCGACGUUCUAGCUAGUAAUUUGACUCGAAUUUUGCACAUAGUUAAAGGGUAGUAUAUAUAAUAAUACAAUAAAUGAGCGACUCCCGUUGCUCGAAAUUUUGCGACAAUGAAGCGGGUGAAGUAAUUCUCCUGUUUUAACAAUUACAAUUGAUACGGAUAACGAUGCGGGCUCGUGACGUUAAAGACUCGGUUGAUUAAUGCGAAUUCGAUCUUAAUAAUCGUCGCGAUUGGAAAUUAUCAGUAUCAGAUAAUCCGAAUGAGACAAAGUCUUUGAUCACUUGAACUAAUGACUAUAUUAAUAUUACGAAUAAUUAUGUGUUUACGGGAAACUUCAAGUCGUCGAAAUGUACAAAAUACACAUGAUGCAGGUAUAAUGAGUCGUCAUGGCAAGGCUAUUUUCAUUAAGGUAAAAUUUCUCCAAAUUUCACCGUAAAAUUAGUAUAUUCUAUUAGUAUAUUGUGUCUUACUUUAAUAGCAAAACGGGGUUCUUUUAAAAUAUUAAAAUAUUCUACAGUUUGUCAGAUAUUGUUUUUUUAAGUUCAAAUAUUUUUGUGAAAUUCUGCUAUGAGAUAAUUAUUGUUAUUUUAUACGUUAAUAAAUGAACUUUAAUAACUGUUAAACAUUAAUAAAUAGAU